rnacentral:lncRNA from 14 species
CGGACGGAGGAGGGGGGCUUGGGAGCUCAGCGUCUUCGCAGCGGGUUAAGUAGGAUUAGUACCAAAUCCCUAUUAUAUUUGCCAAGCAACUUGAAUUUAUCAAAAUUCCCCCUCGCUGUUCUGGAGCUCCUAGAGGAGGAAAUUUUGGCCAGAGUGUAAGAUCUAGACAUACCAGUAGGCAGGAAUACUAGCACACUGCAUUACACUGGCUCCCUGCACUAGCAAUACAAUCGCAAGCCGAAGCUCCCGCUGUUCCCUUCCCUUUUGUGCUUUUAAGAGCAGCCAGGAAACUUAAUGUAUUCGCCAGGGGAGGGGCGGGAUGAAGCGUUUUUAAACCUCCCCGCCAUAAACUUUAAUCGGAUUCCGGGCUGUUGCCCAGCACGGGCAUCUCGUCUGUUGUCUGCAUUCUCCUUCCCCGUUAUCUCCCAUGUCUACUUCUACUACGGUCUGCCUUGCGAGAGCCUCUUUCAAUGUCUUCAUAUGCAACAUCUCUCUGAAUGUGCAAUGUCUUUCCUGCUCAGGAGUGCUGCGUCCUUCACAGUGGAUUGGUUCCUCUUUCGGAGCAGAGCUUGUUUCCUGUGGUGA